GUGGGGAAUCUUCCGCAAUGGACGAAAGUCUGACGGAGCAACGCCGCGUGAGUGAUGAAGGUCUUCGGAUUGUAAAGCUCUGUUAAUCGGGACGAAAGAGCCUAGUGUGAAUAAUGCUAGGAAGUGACGGUACCGGAAUAGAAAGCCACGGCUAACUACGUGCCAGCAGCCGCGGUAAUACGUAGGUGGCAAGCGUUGUCCGGAAUUAUUGGGCGUAAAGCGCGCGCAGGCGGUUCUGCCAGUCUGUCUUAAAAGUUCGGUGAUUAACCCCGUGAUGGGAUGGAAACUACAGAUCUAGAGUAUCGGAGAGGAAAGUGGAAUUCCUAGUGUAGCGGUGAAAUGCGUAGAUAUUAGGAAGAACACCAGGGGCGAAGGCGACUUUCUGGACAAAAACUGACGCUGAGGCGCGAAAGCCAGGGGAGCGAACGGGAUUAGAAACCCGGGUAGUCC
rnacentral:rRNA from 1 species